rnacentral:rRNA from 2 species
GUCUUUUAGUUAAAAAUUUAAAGUCUGACCUGCCCACUGAUAAUUAUUAAAGGGCCGCGGUAUUUUGACUGUGCAAAGGUAGCAUAAUCAUUUGUCUCUUAAUUGGAGGCUGGAAUGAAUGGUCGAAUGAAAUAUUAACUGUCUCAUUAUUAAAAUAAUAAAAAUUUAGCUUUUAAGUUAAAAGGCUUAAAUUAAUUUAAAGGACGAGAAGACCCUAUAGAUCUUUAUAUUAUUAAAUUAUUUAUAAUAUUGAAUAUAAAUAAAUAAAAAAUUUAAUAAUAUUUUAUUGGGGUGAUAGGAAAAUUAAAUAAACUUUUUUUAAUUAUCAACAUUUAUUUAUGAAUAAUUGAUCCAUUUUUAGUGAUUAAAAAAUUAAGUUACCUUAGGGAUAACAGCGUAAUUUUUUUAAAGAGUUCUUAUCGAUAAAAAAGAUUGCGACCUCGAUGUUGAAUUAAAGGUUAUUUCUAGAUGUAGAAGUUUAGAGUUUAGGUCUGUUCGACCUUUGAAUCUUU